rnacentral:rRNA from 1 species
AGAGUUUGAUCCUGGCUCAGAACGAACGCUGGCGGCAGGCCUAACACAUGCAAGUCGAGCGCCCAGCAAUGGGAGCGGCGGACGGGUGAGUAACACGUGGGAAUUUUCCUCAAGGUACGGAACAACUCAGGGAAACUUGGGCUAAUACCGUAUGAUGCAGAGAUGCCAAAGAUUUAUCGCCUUGGGAUAAGCCCGCGUCAGAUUAGGUAGUUGGUGGGGUAAUGGCCUACCAAGCCUGUGAUCUGUAGCUGGUCUGAGAGGACGAUCAGCCACAUUGGGACUGAGACACGGCCCAAACUCCUACGGGAGGCAGCAGUGGGGAAUCUUGCGCAAUGGGCGAAAGCCUGACGCAGCCAUGCCGCGUGAAUGAUGAAGGUCUUAGGAUUGUAAAGUUCUUUCGCCCGUGACGAUGAUGACGGUAACGGGAGAAGAAGCCCCGGCUAACUUCGUGCCAGCAGCCGCGGUAAUACGAAGGGGGCUAGCGUUGUUCGGAAUUACUGGGCGUAAAGCGCGCGUAGGCGGUUUUGCAAGCCAGAGGUGAAAUGCCCGAGCUCAACUUGGGAAUUGCCUUUGGGACUGUGAGGCUUCGAGGACGGAAGAGGUGAGUGGAAUUCCCAGUGUAGAGGUGAAAUUCGUAGAUAUUGGGAAGAACACCGGUGGCGAAGGCGGCUCACUGGUCCGUUUCUGACGCUAAAGUGCGAAAGCGUGGGGAUCAAACAGGAUUAGAUACCCUGGUAGUCCACGCUGUAAACGAUGAGUGCUAGGCGUCGGCAGGCUUGCCUGUCGGUGCCGCAGCUAAC